rfam:Euryarchaeota archaeon SG8-5 WOR_8-12_22717, whole genome shotgun sequence.
GCCACUGUGGCAUAGCCUGGCAGCGCGGCUGAUUCGUAAUCAGCAGGUCGGGGGUUCAAAUCCCUCCAGUGGCU